rnacentral:rRNA from 1 species
UAACACGUGGGUAACCUGCCCAUCAGAAGGGGAUAACACUUGGAAACAGGUGCUAAUACCGUAUAACAAUCGAAACCGCAUGGUUUCGGUUUGAAAGGCGCUUUUGCGUCACUGAUGGAUGGACCCGCGGUGCAUUAGCUAGUUGGUGAGGUAACGGCUCACCAAGGCAACGAUGCAUAGCCGACCUGAGAGGGUGAUCGGCCACAUUGGGACUGAGACACGGCCCAA